AUAUUAUUUGCAGUAUCGAUGAAGUUAUUUGAUCAGCAAACUCUGUAUUCAUUUACACAAUUUCCUGAUCAAUCAUAGCGCACAACCAGCAGGUUUCUUGCGAACUCUUUGCUUCAAUGCCACACCCGCCGGCGGAGCCAGGAUCAAUUCACACGAGCGACCAUCUCAACGUUCUGUUAAUUGAUUUCUCGCAAAAUUAAUUGUAGUCUUUGGCUUGCAGCUACUUAAUUCUCAUACCUCGCACACACUUAUGUACAGCUGCAGCCACUGACUGAUGAUUGGACUUCUUGGCCAUCUGCAACUCGGUUCACGUUCCGCAGUGGCCGCAGCAUAUGCUCGAAACCCGAGAC
rnacentral:lncRNA from 1 species